rnacentral:pre_miRNA from 1 species
CGUGCACUGGUGGGGUCCCUUGGCCUGGCCUGCACCCUCUCACAAUCCGGGACCCCUCAGGGGAUGUUGGAGAGCCCUGAUACCUGCAGGCCAGGCCGAGGGACCCCACCAGUGUACG